CUAAACGCUUCGAAAUAAAUAUCAACCAAAAGUGUAUUUUAAACAGGAAAUAUAUUAAUAUGCUGUACGAGUAUCAACUUAUGAAGCUGGCCGCCGCUUUCAUUAGAUCCAGAGGAUGAACCUAGUUCAGAACUUGUCUGGAUUGAAAACUGACACGCCAUCAAUAAAAUAAUGUUCUCGGAUCGAUAUGAGCAUCUGGAACAGAAGACGGAUGGAUGGAUGGACGGAUGGAUCGAAAAUUAACUAUAUGGGAAAAAUAAUAUUUUAAGAAACAUUAUUGAAUAUUUAUAAUAACUCUAGUAUCAAUGGUGUAUACGAGUAUGCAUUAGACAUGAAAAGAGUAAACACCAUAUUUUCUUGUAGGUUUAUGCUUCAUGAGUCAACAGUAUUCAUAAAAACACAGCUACACUCAUACAUCUUUAAAGCUUUCGAUCAUUACGAAUCCUUUCUUCAGUCAGAUCCGGAUCACCCCGAACCGAGUGCGAGCACUACGGAUACUCAUGCAACAUACUCAAUGUAAAGUGAACUUUUCGGAUCUGCCACAGUAAAAAUGACGAUACCUGCUUCGGGCAGUCCGUUUUGGUCGUGCGAUUCGAUAUAAUGAGAAAUUUGAGUCGCUGAUUUGAACUGACCGAACGUAGCGAGUACCGAGUCAAUCCCACCGACUCGACUCGGUUGCGUUUUCAUGCGGGGCUCUCUGUACAUGUGAAGGCUCUGCACUAUUGAGCAGGAGACCUCAACAUUUUGAGGAACAGGGUUCUUUGGUUCUACCAUAUCAACUGGCCGGUCCAAAGAUCCAAAGAUAUAUGUAUGUAUGCCAGGUCAAAGUGCAACAAGGCCUUACAAUAAUAAUAAUAAUAAUAAUAAUAAUACAAAUGUACAUAUGUAGUGUAGUAUGUAGUGUACUCUUAAGUGGAAUCUCGAAGAUUCUGGUGCAUUUUAAAGAUUGUAACUUAUUAAAGUUUUUAAUAUUUCUGUUGUUGUGGGGGGCUGGGCUAUUAUUUGCGCUGAGAAUUCUCAGACAGACCAGCUAACAGCCUAUCCAUGCACCAUUCGCUGUUGACCAAAAAACGUUUUUGUCAGAGAUGUAUAGGUAUCACCAGAUAUCUGUUUUUCAAUCUCCCGAUACUGUCAUUUUCAUUCCACGAGCUUCCUUGAGUAUCGCAAUUUCUUCUACCUUUAAUUAUACGUCAAUAACAAAAAAAAAGAAAACGGAACACUUAUAGUAAUGCAUGUCACAGUAUCAAGGUAUCUUACUAUCUACCGUCCACUGUAAUCAAAACUAGAAUCAGCAGAAGACCUAACUCGUUCGAUUAAGUUCAUCUUGUUGAGAAGUUUAACUGAUAAGUAAUUAUGCAGUAGUACUUGUGAUUAUCAAAUCAAUGAAGAGAUUCAAAUGGAGAAGUAAUAUUUGGACGUUGAUAUGCAAUAACUGCACCACCAAGUGGGCCAUGAGACACCAAGCCAAGGCCUGUUACGUGCGGAUCACAGGCAGAGACGCAGCCCUGCGCCUGCCCAGCCGACCGGGGGCCCUGCCGCAGGAUCGCUUACAUGCAGGAAAGAUAGAUGUUAGGCUAAUAUUCGAGUAAUAUUAGAACUAAACUGACUAAAGGAGAUAAGCAUGCAUUUAAAAUGGAAAACUAAUACUGGUAUGCUAGUAUCAGUAAUUUAAGAAGAAGAAGGGAAUUAAUAGUAUAUUUAAUAUACCAAGCGAAAGGGACAACGUUGUAUACAUAGUUUCUAGUGGAUAUUAUAGUAAUCGUGAAGUUUAUGCGGACCAAUAAGACGAUUAAUUAAGAAUGCAGGAUUAUUGAGAGCAAUCCAUUCUGAUAAGAUGGCAAUCCGUCACUUGCAUCCCAGUUAAGGCCGCGCAGGUCAAAUAGUUUUUUUUUUUUUGGUUUUGACCGCUCUUACAUGUAUUGGAUGAGUUUUAUAGUUACUAAGAAUUAUUCUAAACUAAUGCGUAAUUCGCCACAAUCAAUGACAUAACAAAUUUCCUAUAAUAACAAUGCGAGUAUGAUGUCGGUCACAUUUGGCCAAGAUAUAGUCUAA
rnacentral:sRNA from 1 species